CGAAACAUAGCAUAUAUUCUAAUGCCCUUUACUUACACUAAAAAUAAAACCUUAGGGUUAGUUUCGA
rnacentral:tRNA from 1 species